AUUCAAAUAGUUUAAGAAAAAUUCUAGUUUGUGGAGCUAGAGAUAUAGAUAUUUAUUUUGAAUA
rnacentral:tRNA from 1 species